rnacentral:rRNA from 1 species
CCUACGGGAGGCAGCAGUGGGGAAUAUUGGACAAUGGGGGCAACCCUGAUCCAGCCAUGCCGCGUGUGUGAAGAAGGCCCUCGGGUUGUAAAGCACUUUCAGUGAGGAAGAACGCCUGGUGGUUAAUACCCAUCAGGAAAGACAUCACUCACAGAAGAAGCACCGGCUAACUCCGUGCCACAGCCGCGGUAAUACGGAGGGUGCGAGCGUUAAUCGGAAUUACUGGGCGUAAAGCGCGCGUAGGUGGCUUGAUAAGCCGGUUGUGAAAGCCCCGGGCUCAACCUGGGGACGGCAUCCGGAACUGUCAAGCUAGAGUGCAGGAGAGGAAGGUAGAAUUCCCGGUGUAGCGGUGAAAUGCGUAGAGAUCGGGAGGAAUACCAGUGGCGAAGGCGGCCUUCUGGACUGACACUGACACUGAGGUGCGAAAGCGUGGGUAGCAAACAGGAUUAGAUACCCCGGUAGUC